rnacentral:ncRNA from 1 species
AGAACUGUAUAACUGAAGUUUCAAAUGAGAGGGUAACGCCUUGAAGGGAACUCACUAAAACUUCGAAUGGCAUAGUCAGUACAAGGAUAAUUGUCAUAAGCUCGGGGAAGUCGCAUGAAGCACACCCUAACGGGUAACGCCGAGGAAAUCUAUCUGGCGGCAGGUAAUGUGUGUGACAGUGCGGGUG